rnacentral:rRNA from 1 species
GUCCACCGAAUGACUAAGGUUUCCUGGGGAAGGCUCGUCCGCCCAGGGUUAGUCGGGACCUAAGCCGAGGCCGACAGGCGUAGGCGAUGGAUAACAGGUUGAUAUUCCUGUACCCGUUGUUUUUGUUUGAGCAAUGGAGGGACGCAGGAGGCUAAGGAAUGCAGACGAUCGGAAAUGUCUGUCCAAGCAGCAAGUCUGAAGAGGAGUUAAAUGCUUCUUUUCUUAAGGACAAGCUGUGAUGGGGAGGGAAAUAAUAGUACCGAAGUUCCUGAUGUCACACUGCCGAGAAAAGCUUCUAGUGAGAAAACAGCGGCCCGUACCGCAAACCGACACAGGUAGUCGAGGAGAGAAUCCUAAGGUGAGCGAGAGAACUCUC